rnacentral:rRNA from 1 species
UUGCGUAGGUGGUUUGUUAAGUAGAUAGUGAAAUCUGGAGGCUCAACCUCACAGGCUAUUAUCUAAACUGGCAAACUCGAGAAUGGUAGAGGUAACUGGAAUUUCUUGUGUAGGAGUGAAAUCCGUAGAUAUAAGAAGGAACACCAAUGGCGUAGGCAGGUUACUGGACCAUUUCUGACACUGAGGCACGAAAGCGUGGGGAGCGAACG